rnacentral:rRNA from 1 species
UGAGUAUUAACUUUAGAACCGCGGUAUAUUGACCGUGCAAAGGUAGCAUAAUCAWUAGUCUUUUAAUUGGAGGCUGGAAUGAAUGGUUUGACGAAAUAAUAUCUGUCUCUAAUAUAAUUAUAUUGAAAUUUACUUUUAAGUUAAAAGGCUUAAAUUUUAUUAAGGGACGAGAAGACCCUAUAGAUCUUUAUAAUAUAAAUUAUAUWAAURAUUAUAGUUGUURAUAUUUUGUUUUAUAAUUUAUAUUGUUUUGUUGGGGUGAUGCAGGAAUAUUUUAACUUCUUGAUUUUUUGACUUUGAUAGGAGAAUAWAUGAUCCUUUAUUAUGGAAURAAGAUUAAGAUACCUUAGGGAUAACAGCGUAAUUUUGUUGGAAAGUUCUUAUUGAUAACAAAGAUUGCGACCUCGAUGUUGGAUUAAGAAUAUAAGUUGGUGAAGAUGCUAAUAUUAUUGGUCUGUUC